rnacentral:SRP_RNA from 1 species
GCCAGGUGUGGUGAUGCGUGCCUGUAGUCCCAGCUACUCAGGAGGCUGAGAUGGGAGGAUCAUUUGGGCCCAGGAGUUCAAGGCUGCAGUGAGCUGUGAUCACACCACUGCACUCCAGCCUGGGCAACAAAGCAAGACCCUAUCUCAA